CCUACGGGGAGCAGCAGUGAGGAAUAGUGGUCAAUGGGCGCGAGCCUGAACCAGCCAAGUAGCGUGAAGGAUGACUGCCCUACGGGUUGUAAACUUCUUUUAUAAAGGAAUAAAACGAGGCACGUGUGCCUUUUUGCAUGUACUUUAUGAAUAAGGAUCGGCUAACUCCGUGCCAGCAGCCGCGGUAAUACGGAGGAACCGAGCGUUAUCCGGAUGUGUUGGGUUUAAAGGGAGCGUAGAUGGGUUGUUAAGGCAGUUGUGAAAGUUUGCGGCUCAACCGUAAAAUUGCCAUUGAUACUGGCAGUCUUGAGUACAGUUGAGGUAGGCGGACUUCGUGUUGUAGCGGU
rnacentral:rRNA from 1 species